AAAGUUUGCAUUGGGCUCAGAAAUAAUAACCAUAAAAAAUUCUACAUUUAAUCAAGUUAAAAUAACUGUCUGUUUUUAUGUAAAUUUUAGGAAAAGCACUUCUGAGUGAAGAAUGUGUUCAAAAGAGAAUAUAAAUAGCCCUCUGAGCCCUGCUUGAUCAUCAGUAGAAAUGGCACCACAUGGAUCUCUGUAACCAAGUGGAAUCGCUCAUCCAGGCCGAAGAAGUUGGUUCAAGAAUGGAAAUAUCAGCACCAGCUGGCCUUGCUCUACCCCCUCUCCCACCUUUUCAUCCAGCAGAACUUCAUCCUUGCCUUCAGCAAGGCAGCUGAAGCCACUAGAGGUUUUGUAAUAAACCUUGCCAGGCUUGUGGAUCUGUCA
rnacentral:lncRNA from 1 species